AGCUUUGCGCAGUGGCAGUAUCGUAGCCAAUGAGGUUUAUCCGAGGCGCGAUUAUUGCUAAUUGAAAAGAUGAUAAGAAACAAUGGAAGAAAAAAGUUAUUAAUGUUUUUAAGAACUUUCUCUUUUAAAGAAUAUAAAAAUGU